GGAGAACAGUGUGCGUGACCUUGAGCUCCUUGAAGGAAAGGGUUGUCUGGGAGACCAGCCUUUCCUAACUGUGAGCCCCCCAGGUAGUGGUGUACUACAAUCCCCAUCAUCCCUGACCACUGGAGAACUGAUGCUUUGCUCUUAGAGGUGGGAGCAGCAGCUGGAGACCAUCAGUGAAGUGACUGUGCCAUGUACCAGUGCCUACUCCAACCCGGGGAAUUGUGGUUGUCCUAUCAGCCAGUCCUCAAGUCUGCGGCUGUUGUUGCUGAAUGCCAGGUGGAAGCAUGAUGUCUCUCAUCCAUGAUCUCAUUGUAGAUGACGGCAGCCAACAAACUGAAGCUCGAUCCAGCAACCCUGCAUCCCCCUGAAUGGCAAGCAAAGGGCCUGCUAUCUAUGGACCGCUUGGAUUGACAUGUGAUCCAUGUGCUCAAAACGGCAAUGGAACAGCUGCUCUGGGUUUAAUUUGAAAGUCUCUGCCUUGAAUGCCAAAAACCUUGUGGGCGGAAUCUAUCACCAAUCAAGAAAAGCUUCUGAACGGAGAAAGAUUCAUUAAAAUUAUAGAUGUCAGCCGCAGUGAGGAAGAAAUGAGUGCUACGUUCUUAUUAUGACUUAGCUGGAUACUGUUGUCUACUAAUGAUUUUGUCUGGGUUAAUCUGAAGGCCACCUUUGCUGCCCAGUAAAAGACAACAUAGCAUGUUAACAAGAACAAAGAAAAUGCAGGACAAUACAUGACAUGGUUAGUUAAGAGAUUUCUCCAUCACCAAUACAUGUUUGGUUUGUUUCCUCUGGACUAAACAAACAAAUUAACCCUCACCAUUCAGAUCACCAGUGUUGGCAAAAGGGCAAUGUCUAACCCUUGAAGAAGGCUCUUGCCCUGGGCAUGCCAGUUUAUAUCCCGUUUAAUUUCAUGUUCAUUAGGAUGUCCUCAGCCACAGCCAGCCCUUCAUCACUUGGGUGAGCUUCUAAGAUGAACAGAGCUAACAUAAGUUGACGAUGAAGAGAAUCUCUCUCUGUACUGUUUUCCUAGAAUUUCAUUCUGAAGAGAAGUAUCUGCAUCACCUAAGGCUUUGUCAUUAACAUUUGUGAAUGGUCCCAUUUGAAGCAGGUUUGUAUUUUCAGGAGCAUGGAUUGUGAAGGGAAGGAGCUUUAACCCUUUGCCCCAGCCAUGGGCCCAGUUGGAAUUGCCCUCUCCCCCACCAUGCCUGCUAUUCACUAUUCACAGAGGAUUCCUAUGACUGUGAGUGGUGAGAGGUUCCAGGAGCAAAACCCCGCAAGACCAUUCUUUUGGAUGAGAGCACCCUGGAGACUUCAAAAGUUUGCUUUAUUUAUAAGUGGAGCAUAGUGGAAGCAAGCCAUUGGAGCGGGUGGCCAUCAUAUUGUGGGAAGGAAUUCCACAGUGUAACUACGUGUUGUGUGAAGAAGCACCUUCUUUGUCCAUCCACUUUUAAUGGCUGGCAAAAAAUCUGGAUUCGACCAGUGACAUGUGUGCACACAAGUGGACCGGCAUGAGACAAAGCAGAUGGAGUCAUUACGGGCACAGCUGUCACACACCAAAAUGACUUGUGAACUGGGCUUGAGAUGAAAUUGCUUCUAGCCUUUUCCAGUAGGCAGACCUUCACAGUAAGAUUCUAGGGUUAACCAAGGAAUAGUUGGACUGAAUUUUAUGAGCCCUUUAACACUUUUUGGUGUAUUUCAUAGCCGGGCAGGCUGAUCCUAUGAACUGGUAGGAGAGGGUAAGUUUCCCCAGGGUGCUCUUGGUGUGAACUGUAUGCCUGACGCUAUAGACUGUGCUCUUAGCAAUGCAGUAGCUCAAUGGAUGGUGCUGUAAUCGUCCCUGUGAACCUGGAGGCUCUUACCUGUAGAACAAUUGCUGGCACUGAGAAAAUCAUGGCUUCAUUAAACACUGGGUUUGUGUCA